GGAAAAGAAACCAACCGGGAUUGCCUUAGUAACGGCGAGUGAAGCGGCAAAAGCUCAAAUUUGAAAUCUGGUACCUUCGGUGCCCGAGUUGUAAUUUGGAGAGGGCAACUUUGGGGCCGUUCCUUGUCUAUGUUCCUUGGAACAGGACGUCAUAGAGGGUGAGAAUCCCGUGUGGCGAGGAGUGCGGUUCUUUGUAAAGUGCCUUCGAAGAGUCGAGUUGUUUGGGAAUGCAGCUCUAAGUGGGUGGUAAAUUCCAUCUAAAGCUAAAUAUUGGCGAGAGACCGAUAGCGAACAAGUACAGUGAUGGAAAGAUGAAAAGAACUUUGAAAAGAGAGUGAAAAAGUACGUGAAAUUGUUGAAAGGGAAGGGCAUUUGAUCAGACAUGGUGUUUUGUGCCCUCUGCUCCUUGUGGGUAGGGGAAUCUCGCAUUUCACUGGGCCAGCAUCAGUUUUGGUGGCAGGAUAAAUCCAUAGGAAUGUAGCUUGCCUCGGUAAGUAUUAUAGCCUGUGGGAAUACUGCCAGCUGGGACUGAGGACUGCGACGUAAGUCAAGGAUGCUGGCAUAAUGGUUAUAUGCCGCCCGUCUUGAAACACGGACCAAGGAGUCUAACGUCUAUGCGAGUGUUUGGGUGUAAAACCCAUACGCGUAAUGAAAGUGAACGUAGGUUGGGGCCUCGCAAGAGGUGCACAAUCGACCGAUCCUGAUGUCUUCGGAUGGAUUUGAGUAAGAGCAUAGCUGUUGGGACCCGAAAGAUGGUGAACU
rnacentral:rRNA from 1 species